UACGUAGGGACCAAGCGUUGUUCGGAUUUACUGGGCGUAAAGGGCGCGUAGGCGGCCACCGCAAGUCGGUUGUGAAAUCUCCGGGCUUAACCCGGAAAGGUCAAUCGAUACUGCGGGCUAGAGUGCAGAAGGGGCAACUGGAAUUCCUGGUGUAGCGGUGAAAUGACGCAGAUAUCAGGAGGAACACCAGCGGCGAAAGGCGGCGCUCUGGGCCGGAACUGACGCUGAGGAGCGAAAGCGUGGGUAGCAAACAGG
rnacentral:rRNA from 1 species